rnacentral:rRNA from 1 species
GCCCAGACUCCUACGGGAGGCAGCAGUGGGGAAUAUUGCACAAUGGGCGCAAGCCUGAUGCAGCAACGCCGCGUGAGCGAAGAAGGUCUUCGGAUCGUAAAGCUCUGUCCUUGAGGAAGAAGGAAGUGACGGUACUCAAGGAGGAAGCCCCGGCUAACUCCGUGCCAGCAGCCGCGGUAAUACGGAGGGUGCGAGCGUUAAUCGGAAUUACUGGGCGUAAAGCGCUCGUAGGCGGUAUGUCAAGUCAAGGGUGAAAUCCCCGCGCUCAACGUGGGAACUGCCUUUGAAACUGGCAAACUGGAGUGUGUGAGAGGAUAGUGGAAUUCCAGGUGUAGGAGUGAAAUCCGUAGAUAUCUGGAGGAACAUCAGUGGCGAAGGCGACUAUCUGGCACAUAACUGACGCUGAGGAGCGAAAGCGUGGGUAGCAAACAGGAUUAGAUACCCCAGUA